rnacentral:sRNA from 1 species
AGUUUGUGCCCAAUUAGUCAACUAAAACAAGUUCUCAAGGGACUGUUUGUGUGUAGUUUAGAAUUACUUGUAUAUUCCUAGUCCCUGCCUUUUAGGAGCUAAGAAGUAAAAUUUGGUGUGAACAAAAAUGUAGCAGGACAAUAUCAACAAAACCCUUGAAAAAAUGCAGAAAUAGUAAAAGUGUCUCCUUCUUUAGAUGGCUUUCUUAGAUCACAGAGGUCUGCGGCAUUCCAGUGCAAAAGUUCGGAGCAGGACGGCUUACCUGUUUUCUAGAUUUGUCAAAUCUCUCAAUAAGCAAAUGAAUCCUUUCAUUGAGGAUAUUUUGAAUAGAAUACAAGAUUUAUUAGAGCUUUCUCCACCUGAGAAUGGCCACCAGUCCUUACUGAGCAGCGAUGAUCAACUUUUUAUUUAUGAGACAGCUGGAGUGCUGAUUGUUAAUAGUGAAUACCCGGCUGAAAGGAAACAAGCCUUAAUGAGGAAUCUGUUGACUCCACUAAUGGAGAAGUUUAAAAUUCUGUUAGAA